rnacentral:rRNA from 1 species
UACGUAGGCAGCGAGCGUUGUUCGGAGUUACUGGGCGUAAAGGGUGUGUAGGCGGCCUAUUAAGUUUGGUGUGAAAUCUCCCGGCUCAACCGGGAGGGUGCGCCGAAAACUUGGGGAGGCUAGAGUGGCGGGAGUGGGAGAGUGGAAUUCCUGGUGUAGCGGUGAAAUGCGUAGAUAUCAGGAGGAACACCGGUGGUGCAGACGGCUCUCUGGACCGUAACUGACGCUGAGACACGAAAGCGUGGGUAGCAAACAGG